AGAAACAUAAACAAUUGAUUGCUUUGUAAAAAGUUAGAAGCUUUAUUUUUCUGUUUCUUU
rnacentral:tRNA from 1 species